rnacentral:snRNA from 1 species
AGCUUUGCGCAGUGGCAGUAUCGUAGCCAAUGAGGUUUAUCCGAGGCGCGAUUAUUGCUAAUUAAAGUGGGAUCAUAAAUAGUUUAGAGAUCAACCAUGAG